rnacentral:rRNA from 1 species
AGCUCCAAUAGCGUAUAUUUAAGUUGUUGCAGUUAAAAAGCUCGUAGUUGGAUUUCGGGUGGGUACCGCCGGUCUCCCUUUGGGUAUGUACUGGCGUGACCCGCCUUGCUGUCGGUGACGAUCUCCUGGACUUCACUGCCCGGGAAUCGGAGUCGACGAGGUUACUUUGAGUAAAUUAGAGUGUUCAAAGCAAGCCUACGCUCUGAAUAUAAUAGCAUGGGAUAACACGACAGGACUCUGGCCUAUCGUGUUGGUCUGUAGGACCGGAGUAAUGAUUAAGAGGGACAGUCGGGGGCAUUCGUAUUCCAUUGUCAGAGGUGAAAUUCUUGGAUUUAUGGAAGACGAACAUCUGCGAAAGCAUUUGCCAAGGAUGUUUUCAUUGAUCAAG